GCCGAUGGGAUUAGUGAAACGUGGAUGACACGUGAGAUUUGAAUGUGUAAUGUAACGGUGGAGAUCUAACGGCUGUGGAUGGAGUUUUGUAUAUAAGUGUGAUGGGAGAGAAAGAGUGGGCGUUUUUUAGAUGCAUUUAAGAGCGUUUUAAGUUAACAGAGGAAAAGGCUUUUGGGAGUUUGUGAGCUUUAAGAGAAAGAGAGAAUGAGGUGUUUAUGAAUUCUCAUGUUAAAGUACUGAAAUCUCAUUUCAAGAGAGAAGAGAAAGAUCUGGAUUUGAGUUUGGAAUAGAUCGAUUUAGAGCCGUCGAAGCUAUUUUCGAAAAGCAAUGAUAGUGUCGUUUUGAGGAAAAAAAAAA